rnacentral:rRNA from 1 species
UACGUAGGGGGCUAGCGUUGCUCGGAAUUACUGGGCGUAAAGCGCACGUAGGCGGAUUGUUAAGUCGGUGGUGAAAUCCUGGAGCUCAACUCCAGAACUGCCUUCGAUACUGGGAAGCUCGAGUCCGGGAGAGGUGAGUGGAACUGCGAGUGUAGAGGUGAAAUUCGUAGAUAUUCGCAAGAACACCAGUGGCGAAGGCGGCUCACUGGCCCGGUACUGACGCUGAGGUGCGAAAGCGUGGGGAGCAAACAGG